UCGUAAAUCGGCACAAAUCGUCU
rnacentral:miRNA from 1 species